GGCCAGGGCAGGAUUAACGAAGGGAAAGUCUUGCUCUCAGUAUUUUAGCUGUAACCUUGGUAAAGAAAGCCAAAAGGGGCUUUCACACAGCACCUUACAAGCCUGUGUUAUCCUUGGGGCUUCUGCAGCCAAUGAAAGUUUGUCACGAUGAUGUAAUGCUCCUGAGUUGUGCUUCAGCCCGAGUAUGUGGUCACCGGGUCUCAUGCCUGAGAGCUAGGCUGCUCAUAGCUGCUUUGCAUGCCUCUCCAUCGACUCUGGAGUUCCUGGUGGAAGCACCUCUGUCUUACUCAGUUUUGCACUCUCAAUAUCUAUUCUGGCACCUAGCUCAUGAAUAGGUACAUGUUGGAUCAUACAAGGGAGAAUUCCGUGUUCACUGAGGAACAAAUAUAGAGAGUUACAUGAUUACGAGGGAAGAGAAACCACAUACUAUUGGAUAGAACAAGAAGACUUCGCAAGCCUAGUCAUAUGUGGUGUGG
rnacentral:lncRNA from 1 species